AACGCUGGCGGCAUGCCUAACACAUGCAAGUCGAACGAGACCUUCGGGUCUAGUGGCGCACGGGUGCGUAACGCGUGGGAACCUGCCUUUAGGUUCGGAAUAACUCAGAGAAAUUUGAGCUAAUACCGGAUAAUGUCUUCGGACCAAAGAUUUAUCGCCUUUAGAUGGGCCCGCGUUGGAUUAGCUAGUUGGUGGGGUAAAGGCCUACCAAGGCGACGAUCCAUAGCUGGUCUGAGAGGAUGAUCAGCCACACUGGGACUGAGACACGGCCCAGACUCCUACGGGAGGCAGCAGUGGGGAAUAUUGGACAAUGGGCGAAAGCCUGAUCCAGCAAUGCCGCGUGAGUGAUGAAGGCCUUAGGGUUGUAAAGCUCUUUUACCCGAGAUGAUAAUGACAGUAUCGGGAGAAUAAGCUCCGGCUAACUCCGUG
rnacentral:rRNA from 1 species